rnacentral:rRNA from 1 species
UACGUAGGGCGCAAGCGUUGUCCGGAAUUAUUGGGCGUAAAGAGCUCGUAGGCGGCUUGUCACGUCGGGUGUGAAAGCCCGGGGCUUAACCCCGGGUCUGCAUUCGAUACGGGCUAGCUAGAGUGUGGUAGGGGAGAUCGGAAUUCCUGGUGUAGCGGUGAAAUGCGCAGAUAUCAGGAGGAACACCGGUGGCGAAGGCGGAUCUCUGGGCCAUUACUGACGCUGAAGCUCGAAAGCUAGGGGAGCAAACGGG